CGCAUUCUUGGCCCCAAGGCCUCAUGCAUCUCCUUCAAGGACUCCGCGUGCCGCUGCUUCGGCUACAUGGUCUCGAAGAAGAAGUACGUCUUCACCAUCGACGACGACUGCUUCGUAAGUUCCUUUGUAACUUUCCCUCUGUGCACAAAGCCAAAUUACUCUCGUUUCCUAGUCGCUCCUGCUGGCGAUUGUUCGAAUUCUGCGCGGAUCUGUGGGAAAAUUAGGAUUGUUGCCCCGGAUCUGGGUCUCCUUCGUUCUAAUUUCUCCAGAUCUGGCUUGAUCAGAUCUGGAUCUAGGAACCCGCAAUCAGUCAGCUCAACAAUAAAGUGUAGCCUGUCAGAUCCUCAGCCGUAUCAGAUUUGAGCAGCAGCUGCUUCUGGGACACAGACAAGCAGCCUCGGCCUUGCUUGCAUUGGCUGGUUGAGGAUCCAGUAAAGUGAUCUCUGUGAUCGUAGUAUAAUUAAUUUUCUCCAUCUGAUGCAUGUGGUAGGUAGCCCAUCUGUGAAGAGUCUUUUUUUCAUCUGGUUAGAAGUUCUAGUUUAUGUGAUUCGGUCGUGUAACACGAGUUGGCAUAUUCAGUUAGUAACCAAACAACGCAUUGCAAGUAUUUAGUGUCAGUUUCAGUUGGUCCACGAUAUUUGCUUCAGAUCCGAGAAACACCGUUGUAGGUCAAUUUCAGUUUAGUCUCUGUAAUUGUUUCGAUUGUAAAAUAACAAUGCUUCAUCCUUUUGAGAUCCACACCAUAUGGUCUCCACUAGAUCUUGCCUUUCCUGAUGAAGCAAUCAAGUGGGAGUAAACUGUUGUAUUCUUCCGAUCAGUGUCUUGUGUGUUGCUUCAACUGAAAUUUAUUGGUCCUCUUUGGAAAUAGGUGGCCAAGGACCCAUCUGGCAAAGACAUCAAUGCUCUUGAGCAGCACAUCAAGAACCUCCUCAGCCCGUCCACACCGUUUUUCUUCAACACCUUGUAUGACCCCUACCGUGAAGGCGCGGACUUUGUCCGUGGAUACCCCUUCAGCCUUAGGGAGGGUGCCCCCACCGCGGUCUCUCAUGGCCUUUGGCUGAACAUCCCUGACUAUGAUGCACCCACACAGAUGGUCAAGCCUCGUGAGAGGAACAGCAGGUACUGCAUUUUGUUAGCAAUGCUGAUCUGCUGCUAAUCAGCAAUCAUUGUAUUGCAUCAAGAAUUGCUGUUGAUCUCUUAUAUUUUGUUCAGGUAUGUUGAUGCCGUCCUGACUAUUCCCAAGGGAACACUGUUCCCCAUGUGUGGCAUGAACCUCGCCUUUGACCGUCAGCUCAUUGGCCCUGCAAUGUACUUUGGCCUCAUGGGUGAUGGCCAGCCUAUUGGUCGCUACGAUGAUAUGUGGGCUGGAUGGUGCGUCAAGGUAUGUAUUUAUUUAACUGAACUACAACUUGUAUUUACACUUAACUUUAGAAAUGAAAUCUUUUCAUCUCAAAAAAAAAAAGGAACUGAAGAAAUGAAACUGAUACAACUGUGUAAACUUCAGGUCAUCUGCGACCACUUGAGCCUUGGAGUGAAGACUGGCCUGCCAUACCUGUGGCACAGCAAGGCUAGCAACCCAUUUGUCAACUUGAAGAAAGAGUACAAGGGCAUCUUCUGGCAGGAGGACAUCAUCCCCUUCUUCCAGAACGCCACCCUCUCCAAGGAGUGUGACACAGUCCAGAAGUGCUACAUCUCACUCUCGGAGCAGGUCAAGGAGAAGCUUGGCAAGAUUGACCCUUACUUCGUGAAGCUUGCUGAUGCCAUGGUCACCUGGAUCGAGGCCUGGGACGAGCUGAACCCAUCUGAUGCUGUCGUUGCUGCUGGGAACGGCAAGGCAGCAGCCAAGUAGGCUGGCUGGGGAGCCAAGAAGAGUGUAUGGUUGGGGCCUAGAUAUAGCUCUUUUUGAGAAAGAGAUUACUGAAGCAGCUUUUAUAAUUCUUUCAUGUUAUGCUGGUGGUUCUUUUGUAGCUGGACAAGGAUUUGUUAUCAUUUACAUAAUUCAAGACAAUAAUAUUUAUCAUGUAUUUUUGAGAAAUCAAGCACCCUUUGUUAUUGUCGUGAAAUUAUUUUCGUUGAGCAUCACUCAUUUGUUCUUUGGCUUAAUUUUCCCUAACGAGAAAAUAAUCUGUUUUUUAAUCACGCACUGACAAACACGCCAGGGGGUGGGGACGGAUAGCGAGGAAGGACUGCCGCAAUGGCGACCAGCGGCGUGCCCGCGAUUGGUGCAAUUCCGUUCUUCACUUUUAUUCUCGACUCCCCAGCCUUUUACUUUUACUGUUCUCCCCUUUAUUCUUGACUCCCCAGCCUUUUACUUUUAUCGAAGGGUUGGACGUACUUUGUUGCGGUUUUCAUAAUGUUUUUGCUCCCUCUGUUUUAAAAUGUAAAGUGUAUUAGUUAUUUAGAAAGUUAAAGCUUUUUAUUUUUAGAGAAAUAUACCAAUACCCAUAUUAUCAAAUUAGUAUCAUUAUAUUCAUCAUGAAAUGAAUUUUAUAUUUUAUUUAUUUAGUAGAAUCGUGGAUGUUGAGAUAUUCUUGGCUUUGAACUUGGUCAAAGUUAAAAAAAACUUGACUUAUCAAAAAACAAAUACACCUUAUAUUUUGGAAUGAGUGAGUAUUUCGUUUGGUGAGUGUGAGAGAUGAUGAAAUGUGCAGUGUUUUGAUGGGCCUUAGUAUGAUUUUAUGUUAUUUGCUAAUCAAUCUAUACUUAUGUGCGGUAUAAGUUUCUGCGUCGGUGUCUGCACUUACUAUAUUUCGUACUAUAUUUGUACUAUAAUAUUACUUCAUCCGUUUUGUUAUAUUUGAUGUAUUUGUUUUUUGAUAAAAUUUCACAAUCCAAGGUACAUUUCCUCUAAUUCCAUACUACAAUAUUACUCUAUCUGUUUCUUUAUAUAUGGUGUAUUUGUUUUUGAUAAAAUUUCACAAUCUAAGAUACAUUUCUUCUAAUUUUGUUUUUAGCCCUAAAAAAAGUAUCUCCCCUAUGAUUGUUGAUUGCAUGUACAUCUCCUUUUAGAGAAAAAAAAGAAAUUAUCUCUUUUCUGAUUGCGUGUAUCUCUUUUUUUACUAGGCUAAAUGAUUUGCUUAUAAUCAACUAAUUAGUUGUCGGGGGGAUGGCCCCCAGACAGGCAACGGAAUCCGGAACCUUUCCAAAAACAUCGGGGCAAGCAAAGCCCCUCAAUUUGGCUCGCCCUGGCCGGCUCCCAGCGCGACCCGGCCAAGCGCCGCAACCCGGCCGGCUGGCUGGCGCAUGCCGACCGUCCGCGAGAAGUCAACCCACGGCAACAAGUAAGCAUGGCUACAGUGCGCCCCCUUUGCUCCGGCCCCGACGGGCGCGGCUGCCGUGCCGACCAAGCCACUGCCCGGGGCGGGCAGCGCCUCGGAGGCACAACUCUGUAGCAAGGCGGCGCUGCCGUCCCACGACGUCGGGCGAGGCAUGCCACAAUACCCAGCAGCCGGUCGACCUGCGCCCGCAGCCCCGGUACGGCCCGCACCCGACGGACCCGGCGGCCCCCACCGUCGGCUCCUAGACACUGAUGCCAGGGCCCCACACCCAUGUAUCUUUACCAUUGUAACCACGGGGGGCCAGCCUAUAAGACCCCCGGAGCCCCUCCAUGCAGAGGGUCGAUUCUCUAGUUUAGCACAAACACACAUCCACCCAUAUAGAGGAGAAGCAAUGCAUGCAUUGGCCUGUCUUCCUCCCCUCAAACAGCUCUAGGAGCAAGCCUGUAUCCACUUCGUAUAAACCAUACUCGGUAGUACUAAGGGGUAUUAUCUCUCCGGAGAGCCCUGAACCUGGGUACGUCUCGUGUCUCACACUUGUGUGUACCAACCUUGCCUCUGGAGCCCACCGGUGCCCUUGUGCCUGUCCCCUCUUUUAGCCAUCCUAUGGCAUCUGCCGUGAGAUCACCACGACAGUUAGCGCCCACCGUGGGGCAGCUAGCGGCACCGGCCGGAGUCACGUUCCAGACGGGGCCCUUCACCAACUCCGGCGAGCGCAUCAUGCACGGCUUGGUUCCCGCGCUCGACGCGGUGCCGGCCGGCUUCGCCGGCUCGUCUGUCGUCCCCUUCGGCGCGCUGCGCGUCUCCGUCGCGCUCGUCCCCGAAGAGCACCCCAGCGAGGUGCUCGACGUCACCGACUCGCCCGUCCCCCUCGCCUGUGACAUCUCCAGCGACAUGGAGGACCUCUGCACCCGCGUGGAGGUGCUUGUUACUGAUUCCGGCUCCACCUCGUCCAGCGCAGCGAAGAAGGCCUCCGCGGUCAAUGCUGCAGCCGCUCGCGCCAGCACGACCGACCCGCUGCGCGCAAUACUGCAGAACCUCAGCAUCCCCAUCACCACUGACGUCGACUCCACCCAUGCCAUGGCCCGGCUCGACGAGGAACGCGUGCGCCUGCUAGACGAGGCCACGACGCGUGCUGCUACGUAGCGCCGAUUGGAAUCCGUCCAGCGGGAGUGCGACGCCGCGUACGGCUUCACGCUGGCCACACCUGAACCCAGCCGGGUCACCGAGGUGCGGACUUGCAGCGCUGCCAUCGGCCGCGCGCUGGGCGCAGUCCCGCCCGUCUACGAAACCACCGUCAAGAACAUGAACACCGUGGAGGCGACCGCUGUGGGCGGGGAGCACCUGCAGGGCGAUAAGCCGCAGGAGCGCCUGUAGCGCAUGUGUGAACUCCUCACCGCUGCGAACACACAGUAGGACUGCCUCAACGCCCCCGCGGCAUCCGUCUCACGCCAUACCAGGGACACCGAGCAGCGGAACACAACGUCCUCCACGCACCCCAGUGAAGCCUAGUCCGGGAAGACCCGAACCCGGCGUGACUGCGCCCUGACGGCUGGCGACGACCUGGGCAAUGAGCCGGCUCCCGAUGCCCAGCGCGACAAGAUCUCCUAAUAGAGACGAAGGUGUCCCGAUGUUUCGAUGAGAUAGCUAUCGUUUUCUGUGGGAGUCGACCUUGACGAUCCGACUACGAACGUGCGAGAUGUUGCGCCUUAGCAAUCGCUAAACCAACUUCCAAGGGGUUAUUGACCACGCCGGAGCACGAUCAACCUGACCACGAGGGUCUAUUUCUUGCAAGCAAACGAAGAAAAAGGAAGAAACUAAGAUUGCAAUCUGGAUAUUGCAAAUAUAAGAUGAAAGCUUUAUUGAUCAAGGUGCGCUUCUGUGACGUCUUUGUCUGGUCGUUGAACACAAACGAAGUACGCGCAGUUGCAGCUAUGCCGAACUUUUAAUCCAAACAAAACCCAAAGUCUAAACGACGCCCUAAGGGCUGUAUAUAUGGAGGAAGAGGGGGGGGGGGAUUUCGUGGCCCUUGGGGGAGGGGUCCGAAACCAGCCAUAUCUCUUGUUUCCCCACACAUACGGGCUCUAAAAACAGCCUAUACUUACGUAUUUCGAAAUUACAUGGGCCUGGCCCAAAAAUAAGAUGACGCAGCACCUAUAAUAGCCUCUGGACGAAAUUUGUGAAGUGGCAUCUUGUAUAUUUCGUCCAAGACUUCAUGCACUCAUUACGGUGGCUUCAAAGUCCUGAAAUCAUCACUUGAAACUCCGUUCUUGUUUUCCUUGCGCAUGCCAUCAUCUCCAUGCUUGUUCUUGCUCCAAUGUUCAUCCUUCUCCGAGCUAGUCCCUUCAUUUGUAAGCAAAACAAAUGUAUCCCAUUUAGAUAACACAAUAUUCUCAUGAACAUUAGAAUCAUUACCAAGAAACAAAAGUACCUGGUAAUUUAAUUGGCGUGCACGAGCUCUAGUAAUUGGUCCAGUAUGUGUGACGCCCCCGAUUUGACCGUACACUAAUCAUGCACGCAAAUGUGUACGACCAAGAUCAGGGACUCACGGGAAGAUAUCACAACACAACUCUAAAACAUAAAUAAGUCAUACAAGCAUCAUAAUACAAGCCAGGGGCCUCGAGGGCUCGAAUACAAGUGCUCGAUCAUAGACGAGUCAGCGGAAGCAACAAUAUCUGAGUACAGACAUAAGUUAAACAAGUUUUGCCUUAAGAAGGCUAGCACAAAAGUAGCAACGAUCGAAGAGGCAAGGCCUCCUGCCUGGGACCUCCUAACUACUCCUGGUCGUCGUCAGCGGCCUGCACGUAGUAGUAGGCACCUCCAGUGCCGUGGGAGUCGUCGUUGACGGUGGCGUCUGGCUCCUGGACUCCAACAUCUGGUUGCGACAACCAGAUAGAAAGGAAAGGGGGAAAAAGAGGGAGAGAAGCAACCGUGAGUACUCAUCCAAAGUACUCGCAAGCAAGGAGCUACACUACAUAUGCAUGGGUAUAUGUGUAAAGGGGCAUAUCAGUGGACUGAACUGCAGAAUGCCAGAAUUAAAAGGGGGAUAGCUAGUCCUGUCGAAGACUACGCUUCUGGUCAUCUCCAUCUUGCAGCAUAUAGAAGAGAAUAGAGUGAAGUCCUCCAAGUAGCAUCGCAUAGCAUAAUCCUACCCGGCAAUCCCCUCCUCGUCUCCCUGUUAGAGAGCGAUCACCGGGUUGUAUCUGGCACUUGGAAGGGUGUAUUUUAUUCAGUAUCCAGUUCUAGUUGUCAUAAGGUCAAGGUACAACUCCGGGUCGUCCUUUUACCGAGGAACACGGCUAUUCGAAUAGAUAAACUUCCCUGCAGGGGUGCACCACAUAACCCAACACGCUCGAUCCCAUUUGGCCGGACACACUUUCCUGGGUCAUGCCCGGCCUCGUAAGAUCAACGCGUCGCAGCCCCACCUAGGCUCAACAGAGAGGUCAGCACGCCGGUCUAAACCUAUGCGCGCAGGGGUCUGGGCCCAUCGCCCUAAGCACACCUGCACGUUGCGAACGCGGCCGCGAGCAGACCUAGCAACCCACACGAUCACGGCGGUUACGUCAAAGCGGUCCAACACGGCGCGCGCCACUCAGUCGCUGACGUCAAAAGAGCUUCGGCUGAUACCACGACGUCGGGAUACCCAUAACUACUCCCACGUAGAUGGUUAGUGCGUAUAGACCAAAUGGCCAGACUCAGAUCAAAUACCAAGAUCUCGUUAAGCGUGUUAAGUAUUCGCGAACGCCGACCAGGGCCAGGCCCACCUCUCACCUAGGCGGUCUCAACCUGCCCUGUCGCUUCGCCACAAAGAUCCACUUGCGGGUACUCCUACGAGCCGACCCGACUUUAGUCAUCUUAGGUGUCAUGUAUAUAAUAUAUAAGUAUAUGCCCGUGUCCACCGCCCAGGUGAUCACGGCCCGAUAGUAUAGCACAGCAGACGGACAAGAAUGUAGGGCCACUGAUGGAAAACUAGCAUCCUAUACUAAGCAGUAGGGUAGCAGGUAAGGGAAACAACUGUAGCAACAAUGACAGGCUAUGCAACAGAAUAGGAUUAACCGAAAGCAGUAACAUGCUACACUACUCUAAUGCAAGCAGUAUAGAGGAGAGUAGGCGAUAUCUGGUGAUCAAGGGGGGGGCUUGCCUGGUUGCUCUGGCAAGUAGGAGGGGUCGUCGACUCCGUAGUCGAACUGGGCAGCAGCAGUGUCGGUCUCGUAGUCUACCGGAGAGAAGAGGGGGAAGAAACAGUAAAUACAAUGCAAACAUAAGCAUGACGAUGCGUGACAUGACAGUGAGCGGUGCUAGGGGUGUCCUAACGCGACAGUAGGUGGUACCGGUGAAGGGGGGGGACAUCCGGGAAAGUAUUCCCGAUGUUUUGCGUUUUCGGACAGAAGGACCGGAGGGGGAAAGUUGCGAGUUCGAUAGGUUAGGGAGGUGUGGUGGACGCACGGACUGCGUAUCCGGAUUCGUCUCGUCGUUCUGAGCAACUUUCAUAUAGAAAACAUUUUCAUCCGAGUUACGGUUUAAAAGAUAUGAAUUUUAUAAGUUUAUUUGAAUUUCUGGAAUUAUUUAAUUAACAGAAAAAGGGAUAUGACGUCAGCAUGACGUAUGAGUGACGUCAGCGGUCAACAGUCCGGGUUGACUGGUCAAACUGACAAGGGGGACCCACCUGUCAUAGAUAGUGGGUUAACAGAGGAUUAAACUAAUUAGUUUUUAGUUAAUUAACUACUGGGCCCACCUGUCAGUGAGAGAUUAAUUAAACUAAUUAUUUUUAUUUAUAAAACAUUUUCUUUUUUAAUUUUUGCGGCGGGCCCGCAUGUCAGUGACUGGGCCUGCCCAGUCAGCAGUUGACUGGGUCAACCCAGUCAACUGGGACCCGUGGGGGCCACUGGCAGUGACCCAGGGGGUGGCCCCAGGUGUGCCACGUCGGCGGCCGGCACCGGAGCAAUGCCGGCGACCAGACGCACGGCGGCGCGGCUCGGGAGGGGUACGGGUUUCACGUACAGGGGGUCUCCGGGGGCGUGGCUGGGCGCGUUCGACGCGGCUCGACGUCGCGCGUCCAACGGCGGUGGUCGGAGGGGCUGGAACGGCCGGAGACGAGCGCUACGAACUCGCCGGCGGCGAGGAGCUACGGGUGCCCGACGGAAACAUAUCUACGGCGAGCUAACGAGAAAGCGGAGGGGCUGGGGGGCAUCUACAAACGGCGGGGAGUGCAACGGGCUUGACCCCGUGACCAUUUGGUCACCGGAGACCCGCCGGCGGCGAGCUCCGCGGCGCGGCGUUCGGGCGCGCGUGGGGGGAAAGCUAGGGAGCGUGGGCGAGCUAGCGGAGUGGGGGAGGAGGUAGAGGAGCUCACCGCGUGGCGCAAGAAAGGCCCGUGGGUGCUNNNNNNNNNNNNNNNNNNNNNNNNNNNNNNNNNNNNNNNNNNNNNNNNNNNNNNNNNNNNNNNNNNNNNNNNNNNNNNNNNNNNNNNNNNNNNNNNNNNNNNNNNNNNNNNNNNNNNNNNNNNNNNNNNNNNNNNNNNNNNNNNNNNNNNNNNNNNNNNNNNNNNNNNNNNNNNNNNNNNNNNNNNNNNNNNNNNNNNNNNNNNNNNNNNNNNNNNNNNNNNNNNNNNNNNNNNNNNNNNNNNNNNNNNNNNNNNNNNNNNNNNNNNNNNNNNNNNNNNNNNNNNNNNNNNNNNNNNNNNNNNNNNNNNNNNNNNNNNNNNNNNNNNNNNNNNNNNNNNNNNNNNNNNNNNNNNNNNNNNNNNNNNNNNNNNNNNNNNNNNNNNNNNNNNNNNNNNNNNNNNNNNNNNNNNNNNNNNNNNNNNNNNNNNNNNNNNNNNNNNNNNNNNNNNNNNNNNNNNNNNNNNNNNNNNNNNNNNNNNNNNNNNNNNNNNNNNNNNNNNNNNNNNNNNNNNNNNNNNNNNNNNNNNNNNNNNNNNNNNNNNNNNNNNNNNNNNNNNNNNNNNNNNNNNNNNNNNNNNNNNNNNNNNNNNNNNNNNNNNNNNNNNNNNNNNNNNNNNNNNNNNNNNNNNNNNNNNNNNNNNNNNNNNNNNNNNNNNNNNAGGGAAGGGGCGAGGGAGGAGGUGGGCUGGGCCGGGGGCGCGGCUGCGGCCCAGUUUGGGCCGGGGGGGCAGUGGGGGGAAAGCGGGCCCUUUUCCCCUUUUUUUUCUUUUUCUCUGCCUGGGUUCUGUUUUCUGUUUUCUCUUUAUUUGCUUAUUCCCUUUUCUGUUUUAUUUCAUUUAAAAGUAUUUAGACAUUUUAUAAAAAUGUGUUUUCUCCACCAUAAUUACCAGUGUAUUAUUUAGCACUCACAGAACAUUUUUGUUUGAGUUUUUGAAAACUUUUAUUUUUCACUUUAAUUAUAUUUGAAGUUUGAACUAGGAGUUUGACAGGGGUGGGGUUCCAAUGUGAUCAAGCCCUGUUUAGCAACAUGAUUAGCUUAAUCACAGGGGGUUACUGUAGCAUGAUUCUCAGGGUGUUACAGUAUGUAUAGUAGCAGGGGCUGUUGGUGUAACAAUGGUAUUGAUGUCCUCAUCAUCCACCCUUUAUUGAAAUCAAGUUGUCCUCGAUGGAAGCUCAUCUUCCUCACCCAAAUAAGGCUUCAAAUCUGCAAUGCUAAAAGUGGGACUAACCCCAAAAUCUACAGGCAGCUCAAGUUUAUAUGCAUUAUCAUUUAUUUUCUCUAACACCUUAAAGGACCAUCAGCAUGUGGCAUUAGCUUUGAUUUGCGCAAAUCAGGAAAUCUAUCCUUGUGCAAAUGUAACCAAACAAGAUCUCCAGGUGCAAACACAACAUGUUUUCUACCCUUAUCUCCAGCAAGUUUAUAUUUAGUAUUUAUAUGCUCAAUGUUUUCCUUAGUUAACUCAUGCACUUUUAAAAUCAAUUCAGCACGUUGUUUAGCAUCAAAAUUAACCUUCUCCGAAGAUGGAAGAGGCAAUAAAUCAAUAGGUGCACGAGGUAGGAAACCAUACACAAUUUCAAAAGGGCACAUCUUAGUAGUAGAAUGCAAUGAACGAUUAUAAGCAAAUUCAAUAUGAGGCCAGCAUUCUUCCAACAUUUUCUUAUUAUUCCUCAAAACAGCCCUAAGCAUAGUAGACAAUGUUCUAUUGACUACUUCAGUUUGUCCAUCAGUUUGGGGGUGACAAGUAGUACUAAAAGGCAGUUUAGUCCCCAACUUAGCCCAUAAACAUCUCCAAAAGUGGCUAAGAAAUUUAGUAUCACGAUCUGAAACAAUAGUAUUUGUCACACCAUGCAAGCGAAUAAUUUCACGAAAGAACAAAUCAGCAACAUUAACAACAUCAUCACUUUUAUGACAUGGUAUAAAGUGUGCCAUUUUCGAGAAUCUAUCCACGACAACAAAUAUGCUAUCUCUCCCCUUCUUUGUUCGAGGUAAACCUAAAACAAAGUCCAUAGAUAUAUCCUCCCAAGGAACACUAGGUACAGGCAAAGGCAUAUAUAAACCAUGAGGAUUGAGUCGUGACUUAGCUUUUUGACAUGUAGUGCAGCGAGCAACAAAACGCUCAACAUCCCGUCUCAUCUUUUGCCAAAAGAAAUGUGUAGCAAGUACGUCCUCCGUUUUCUUCACACCAAAGUGUCCCAUUAAUCCUCCUCCAUCCGCCUCCUGCAACAAGAAAAGACGAACAGAGCUAGCUGGAAUGCAUAGCUUGUUAGCACGGAACACAAAUACAUCAUUAACGACGAACUUGUUCCAUGUUCUUCCUUCUUUACAAUUCUGGAUUACAUCUUUAAAAUCAGCAUCAUGCACAUAUUGAUCUUUGAUGGUCUCCAAACCAAAUAUUUCGAAGUCAAGUUGUGAAAGCAUAGUAUAGCGACAAGACAAUGCAUCAACAAUAACAUUUUCUUUACCCUUCUUGUGUUUAAUGACAUAAGGGAAAGUCUCAAUGAAUUCAACCCAUUUAGCAUGUCUACGAUUCAAUUUGGCUUGACUUUUAAUAUGUUUCAAAGAUUCAUGAUUAGAAUGUAUAACAAAUUCUUUGGGCCAUAAAUAACGUUGACAUGUUUCUAAAGUCCGAACAAGAGCAUAUAAUUCUUUAUCAUAAGUUGAAUAAUUCAGACUAGGCCCACUCAAUUUUUCAGAAAAGUAUGCAACAGGUUUACCAUCUUGUAAUAACACACCUCCUAAUCCAAUUCCACUAGCAUCACAUUCAAGCUCAAAAGUCUUAUUAAAAUGAGGAAGUUGGAGUAAAGGAGCAUGUGUCAACUUAUCUUUCAAUACCGUGAAGGCUUCUUCCUGUGCGGUACCCCAAACAAAAGGCACAUCCUUCUUUGUAAGCUCAUUGAGAGGUGCAGCAAUGGUGCUGAAAUCUCUCACAAAACGCCUAUAGAAUCCAGCGAGGCCAAGAAAACUCCUCACUUGUGUGACCAUUUUGGGCUACGGCCAACUCGCAAUAGCUUCAAUCUUGGCUGUAUCAACUUCAGUUCCCUGUGGAGUAACAACAUAGCCCAGAGAAGAUACCCGGUCGGUGCAAAAGGUGCACUUCCCAAGGUUACCAAACAAACGUGCAUCACGUAGAGCAAUAAAAACAGAAUGCAAAUGUUCCUCCAAAGAUCUGCUAUAAAUCAGUAUAUCAUCAAAAUAGACUACCACAAAUCAUCCAAUGAAAGCACGUAAAACUUCAUUCAUUAAUCUCAUGAAAGUACUAGGUGCAUUAGUUAACCCAAAAGGCAUGACUAACCACUCAUAUAAUCCAAACUUAGUUUUAAAUGUUGUUUUCCAUUCAUCUCCCAGUUUCAUACGAAUUUGAUGGUAUCCACUAUGCAAAUCAACUUUGGAGAAUAUUGUAGAGCCACUCAAUUCAUCAAGCAUGUCAUCUAGCCUAGGAAUAGGAUGACGAUAACAAAUAGUAAUAGUAAUAUCAACUUUGGAGAAUAUUAUAGUAACAUUAAUGCCUCUACAAUCAACACACAUACGCGACGUACCAUCCUUUUUGGCACUAGUAUAAUAGGAACAACACAAGGACUAAGAGAUUCGCGUAUAUAACCUUUGUCGAGCAGCUCCUGUACUUGACGCAUAAUCUCCUUCGUCUCCUCUGGAUUGGUACGGUAUGGUGCACGGUAUGGCAGCGAAGCACCGGGAAUUAAGUCAAUCUGAUGCUCAAUCCCUCGAAUAGGUGGUAAUCCCGGUGGCACGUCUUGUAGAUAGACGUCAGCGAACUCCUGCAAAAUGUUAGUGACAGCAGGAUGCAAAGAGGAAGGUACAUCCUCGAAAGAAAAUAAUGCCCCUUUGCACACAAAAGCAUAGCAAACAGAUUUGCUGAAAUCUAGAUCAUCAAUAUCAAAUUUGGUGGCAAGUAAACAUGCACUUUUUGAUUUGAUUUCAGAAGCAACACUAGAUGGUUUAUUAUUAGGCUUCAUUCGUUGCUCAUAUUAUUUUGCCACAAUCUGAUAUUCACUCUUAGUUUUCUCUUGUUUUGCUUUAUUAGCUCUAUUAAUAUCAUCUUUCAAAAUGGAAUCAGGAGUCAUAGGAAGCAAAGUAAUAUUUUUAUCCUUAUGAACAAGAGUAUAGUGAUUGUCUCUACCAUGGUGUACAGAAUUUUUAUAAAAUUGCCAUGGUCUACCAAGUAAUAAGGAACAUGCUUGCAUAGGUACCACAUCACAAUCAACAUAAUCAGCAUAUGUAGAUAUACUAAAAUGCACACGAACAAUACGUGUUACCUUAACCUUGACACUGUUGUCGAACCAUUGGAUGUAGUAAGGAUGUGGAUGUGGUCUUGUGGUGAGAGAUAGCUUCUCCACCAUCUCUAUGCUAGCCAAGUUGUUGCAACUCCCUCCAUCUAUGAUGACGCGAAUAGAACGUUCCUUCACAACUCCCUUUGUAUGGAACAAAUUAUGCCUCUGAUUUUUCUCAGCACGUGUGACCUGCACACUCAAAACACGUUGAGCAACUAAGCAUUCAUACUUGUCAGCGUCUUCAGGAGCCAUGUAUUGCGUCUCAUGAUCAGAAUCAUCUCCACCGUGUUCUUCACUUGUAAUAAGAGCCUAAGUCUUCUCAGCAUAGUCACUAGCGGACUCAUACCCACCAUCCUCAGUAGAAAUCAUCACACGCUUAGAUGGGCAUUCUCUCGCAUGGACCUCCACCCUUGCAACGACGAAAAAUAUUACCAUGUGUUUGCCCUGUUGAUGCCAUGGAUGAAGAAGAGCUCUGUGCGGAACCGGAAGGUGUACUCCUGGCAGAUGGUGGUGGUGGUGCCUGUUUUCUUGUAUCUCGGUUGGAAUUGGCGGCUGAAGUCAGUGGUGCUGCAGUAGGACGUGUGGGAGUAGAGGAUGCACGCGGUGUCCAUGAUGAAGGUCGACCUGCAGAAAAGUUAGUUCGCGCCAAUGCCAGUCGAUCCCGCACUUCACGUUCAGCUUUGCAAGGAAGAUGGAAUAAACAAGUGAUAUUAUUAUACUCCUUAUACUCUAGAAUGGUCUGAAUCUCUUUAUUUAAUCCACCCAUAAAACGUGCAAGCAUAGCUUCAUUAUCCUCAACAAUACCACAUCUAAUCAUUCCAGUUUGUAAUUCCUAAUAAUAUUCUUCUACAAAUUUUUUUCCUUGUCUUAAACGCUGCAAUUUUUGAAGUAAUUCACGUUGAUAAUAUGGUGGAACCCAACGAGUACGCAUAGCAGUUUUCAAGGCAGCCCAAGUAGCUGGAAUAGGAUAUAAUCUACAAUGUUCAGACCAGCAAACACAUGCAAAACUAGUGAAAGCACAAACAUCAGCAGGAACACGUCUCUCCUAAGGAUAUUCUAAACAUGUAAAACGUUGUUCAGUUUCUAACUCCCAAGUAAGAUAUAUAUCAGGAACAUAUCUACCCUCAAAUGGUGGAAUAUUCAAUUUUAGUUUAGGAAGAUGGUCAUGAUCUCGUACCUCAGGCGGUGGUGCAGCCCUACCGUUGCGAUGACAUGCAUGAGGACGACCUGGUGGUGGUGGUGGUGCUGGUGGUUGCAUGUAGUUAUGAUUUUGAUCAACCUCAUCCUCGUAAUGGUCCUCCACCUCUGCAGUAGCAGCAGGAGCUACAGAAGCAUCAACAGUAGGUACAUUGACACCCGAAUUUUGACCAGGCUCAAGUGGAAUGCGCAGUGCUCGUCCCACUUGAUUUGGAAGGCGAUGUUGUUGUUGUUGCUGUUGUUGUUGUUGUUGUUGUUGUUGUUGUUGUUGUUGUUGUUGUUGUUGUUGUUGCUGCUGCUGUAGAGGUGCGACAGGUGCAACGGGCGGUGGUUUGUGGAAGACGCGCGGGCAAUUCAUUAAACUUGUGAUCGAGCUUUGUUUCGAACGCCUUCUCAAUGCCAUCUAUCUUCUCCAUGGCCUCUUCAAAUCUGUUUAGCACAUCUUCCACCUGUCCACUCAUCAUGUGCUAAAAUUUAUCAUGUAGCUGUUUGUUCGUCAUGUUCUCCCAAUCAGUCUCAUCGGCUUGUGAUCCUGCCAUGGUUAGCAGCAAUAGAAACACACAAGAAUAUGAUCCUACAGACUACUAGGAAGUGGUGAUCGGCAACCGUUGUAGUCAAAACUCUCAAAGAAUGGACAGAGUGAUUGCUAGGUGGUGUCAAACGCACGCUAGAUUGGACAGAGUUUUGAUUUUUUUCCCGAAACCUACUCAGGCAAGGAAACACGAAUCGGAAAAUAGAUGGAUCUCGAAAACAAACCUAGUGUGAAAAGAACUCAGAUUGGUGGUGGAUAUAUGGUAGCGGUGGUGGUAUAUGGUAGCGGUGGUGGUAUAUGGUAGCGGUGGUGGUAUAUGACAGCGGUGGUAGUAUAUGGUAGCGGUGGUGGUAUAUGGAUACAGAUCGGUGGUGGUAUAUUGAUACGGAUCGGUGGUGGUAUAAGCGGUGGCGGUAGAUGGCUGCUACCUCUUGAGCAUGCGUUGGUUUUCCCUUGAAGAGGAAAGGGUGGUGCAGCAAAGUAGCGUAAGUAUUUCCCUCAGUUUUUGAGAACCAAGGUCUCAAUCCAGUAGGAGACUACACGCAAAUCGCCUAGUACCUGCACAAACAAUAAAGAACCUUGCAACCAACGCGAUAAAGGGGUUGUCAAUCCCUUCACGGCCACUUGCAAAAGUGAGAUCUGAUAAAGAUAAUAAGAUAAAUAUUUUUGGUAUUUUUGUUGUAUAGAUUGGAAAAUAAAGAUUGCAAAAUAAACGGCGACAGAGAUAGCUAGUUGACGGGAAAAUAAUAUGAUGUAAAAUAGACCCGGGGGCCAUAGGUUUCACUAGUGGCUUCUCUCAAGAUAGCAUAUCUUACGGUGGGUGAACAAUAUACUGUCGAGCAAUUGAUAGAAAAAUGCAUAGUUAUGAGAAUAUCUAGGCAUGAUCAUCAACAUAGGCAUCACGUGCGUGUCAAGUAGACCAAAACGAUUCUGCAUCUACUACUAUUACUCCACACAUCGACCACUAUCCAGCAUGCAUCUAGAGUAUUAAGUUCAUAAGAACAGAGUAACGCAUUAGGCAAGAUGACAUGAUGUAGAGGGAUAAACUCAAGCAAUAUGAUAUAAGCCCCAUUUUUUUAUCCUUGAUGGCAACAAUACAAUACGUGUCGUUUCCCUUUCUGUCACUGGGAUCGAGCACCGCAAGAUUGAACCCACAGCUAAGCACUUCUCCCAUUGCAAGAAAGAUCAAUCUAGUAGGCCUAACCAAACUGAUAAUUCAAAAGACUUGCAAAGAUAUUAAAUCAUGCAUAUAAGAAUUCAGAGAAGAAUCAAAUAUUGUUCAUAGAUAAUCUUGAUCAUAAACCCACCAUUCAUCGGAUCUCGACAAACACACCGCAAAAAGAAUUACAUCGAAUAGAUCUCCAAGAAGAUCGAGGAGAACUUUGUAUUGAGAUCCAAAGAGAGAGAAGAAGCCAUCUAGCUAAUAACUAUGGACCCGAAGGUCUAUGGUAAACUACUCACACAUCAUCGAGAGGCUAUGGUGUUGAUGUAGAAGCCCUCCGUGAUCGAAUCCCCCUUUGGCGGAGCGUCGGAAAAGGCCCCAAGAUGGAUCUCACGGGUACAGAAGGUUGCAGCGGUGGAAAAGUGGUUUCGUGGCUCCCCUCGAUGUUUUCAAGGUAUAAGAGUAUAUAUAGGCGAAAGAAGUAGGUCGGUGGAGCUGCGAGGGGCCCACGAGGGUGGGGGGCACACCUACCCCCUGGGCCCGCCCUCCUACCUCGUGGAUGCCUCGUGGCUUCCUUGACGUCCACUCCAAGUCUCCUGGAUUGCGUUUGUUCCAAAAACGAUCCUCGCGAAGGUUUCAUUCCGUUUGAUAUUGCUUUUCUGUGAAACACUGAAAUAGGCAAAAAAACAGCAAUUUGCACUGGGCCUUCGGUUAAUAGGUUAGUCCCAAAAAUAAUAUAAAAGAGCAUAUUACAGCCCAUUAAACAUCCAAAACAGAUAAUAUAAUAGCACGGAACAAUAAAAAUUAUAGAUACGUUGGAGACGUAUUAAUGGCUGGGGCGAUGAUGAUGGUGCGGUGGCGGCGUGACAACUUAUGACCAGAACUCGAAACUCUAAAAGACUAGACGCUAAGACUAGCAACUCGACACGACGAUGCAACUACAAGUUCAACAAAGCAAAAUACUGAAAAGACCAUGCAAAGGCUCAGACUGGUUCGGAUAUGAUGAACUAACCCUAAUUUUUUUGGCUUUUUCGUGGACUGUAGGUAUGAAGAAUAGACUCGAUCUAAACUACGAAAAACUCUAAAAUCUCACCGAGCAAUCUAGAAAUCUGAUACCACUUGAUAGAGGCAAAGGUGUCCCGAUGUUUCAAUGAGAUAGCUAUCGUUUUCUGUGGGAGUCGACCUUGAUGAUCUGACUACGAACGUGCGAGACAUCGCGCCUUAGCAAUCGCUAAACCAACUUCCGAGGGGUUAUUGACCACGUCGGAGCAUGAUCAACCUGACCACGAGGGUGUAUUUCCUGCAAGCAAAUGAAGAACAAGCUAAGAUUGCAAUCUGGAUAUUCCGAAUAUAAGAUGAACGCUUUAUUGAUCAAGGUGGGGUUCUGUGACGUCUUUGUCUGGUCGUUGAACACAAACGAAGUAUGCGAAGUUGCAGCUAUGGCGAACUUUUAAUCCAAACAAAACCCAAAGUCUAAAUGACGCCCUAAGGGCUGUAUAUAUGGAGGAAGAGUGGGGGGGGGGGGAUUUCGUGGCCCUUGGGGGAGGGGUCCGAAACCAACCCUAUAUCUUGUUUCCCCACACCAUACAUACGGACUCUAAAAGCAGCCUAUACUUAUGUAUUUCGAAACUACACGGGCCUGGCCCAAAAAUAAGGUGAUGCAACACCUAUAAUAGCCUCUGGACGAAAUUUAUGAAGUGGCAUCUUGUAUAUUUCGUCCAAGAAUUCAUGCACUCAUUACGGUGGCUUCAAAGUCCUGAAAUCAUCACUUGAAACUCCGUUCUUGUUUCCCUUGUGCAUGCCAUCAUCUCCAUGCUUGUUCUUGCUCCAAUGUUCAUCCUUCUCCGAGCUAGGCCCUUCAUUUGUAAGCAAAACAAAUGUAUCCAAUUUAGGCAGCACCAUAUUCUCAUGAACAUUAAAAUCAUCACCAAGAAACGAAAGUACGUGGUAAUUUAAUUGGCGUGCACGAGCUCUAGUAACUGGUCCAGUAUGUAUAGUAGCAGGGGCUGUGGGUGUAACAAUGGUAUUGAUGUCCUCAUCAUCUCCCCACCAGCCAGAAGUCAUGGCCGGCCAGCUUCGGCCGGUCUGGCUCCCCACGGCAUUGUCACAAGCCGGCUGGGUCCGCGUGACAUCGACAACAACGAUGCUCGCCACCGCAUCAAGCAAUUUGCCCUUUCCAUCGAGAUGGGGGAAGACAACGCGGUUAGUCUGGCUUGUUUCGGUCCUCGCAUCCACGACGAGCCCUUCCACAAGGGGUUCACACUUCCCCGCGACACCCCAAGUACAACGGGACCAUCAAGCCGGAGGACUGGCUCAUCGACUACACCACAGCCAUCGGCAUCGCGGGCGACAACCGGCGUCUGGCCGUGCGCUAUGCUCCGCUCGUGCUGCAGGGCUCAGCCUGGACGUGGCUGCACAGCCUACCAUCUAGCAACGCCAACUCGUGGGUCGACUUUGAGCAGGCCUUCGUGCACAACUUCAUUGGCACCUACAAGUGACCCGGCCACCCCAGCCAGCUCGCCAUGUGCAUCCAGGGGGCAAACGAGACCGGCCGUCAGUACCUUGCACGCUAGACCAAGCUCCGGAACAGCUGCAAGGGGGUCCAUGAGGUUCAAGCCAUCCAGUACUUUGUGAACGGUUGCCAGGACGACACCCUACUCAAGCACAAGCUCCUGCGCUCCGAGCCGACCACCAUGGCCCUGCUCAUGGUCACGACAGACAAGUAUGCCAAAGCCGACUCCGCCAUGAAGAUCCAAGUCGUGCUGGACAAGGCCGGCAAGGCAUUGCCGGCACCGCCCCCAAGCCAGCUGGCGAGAGCAGCCACCAACAGAACAACAAGUGCAAGGCCGAGCAGCCGGCUCCCCGCUACGACAACCGCCUUGUCGCUACCACUAAUCAAGCACCCGCGGCUGAGCUGGCCGGCAACCAGCGUCAGUGAACUGGCAAGACCGCCUGGCAACCCGCCAUGAGCUUCGAGGAGAUGCUCGAUGCCCCCUGCAAGCACCACAGCGGCACGAGGCUGUCUACGCGCACGCUCCGGCAGUGCGCCAUCACCAAGCGCAUCAUGAGGGGCGACAUCCCCCCGCCGCCUCCUCCUCCUCCGACACCGGGUGCUGGGCAGCCGCAGCCGCCUUCGCCCCUGGCAGUCGGCACAAUGCGCGAUGAACUCUUCCCCAACCAGAAUGCAAGCUAUGUCGUAUUCACCAGCCUAGGUGGCGACAAGCAUAGAGAGUGCCUCCUCCGGCAGGAGGUGAACACCGUCAUUCCAGCCGUGCCCGAAUACAUGCACUUGUUGGAGCGCCCGGUCAGCUGGACCCAGGAGGACCACCCGGCCGUCAUGACUAUGCUGGGUGGCUACGCCCUCGUCGUCGACCCCACCAUAGUCGGUGCGAAGCGCACCUACAAGUUCUCGCGAGUCCUCAUCGAUGGCGGCAACAACAUCAACAUGCUCUACCGCGAUAUCAUGACCAAGCUCGGCAUCGAGGCAAGGCAGCUGUAGCCGACCCGGACGGUGUUCCAUGGCAUCGUGCCGGGCCUCUGCUGCUCCCCGAUCAUCCGAAUCCGGCUUGACGUCCUCUUCGGCACUAGUGACCAUUUUUGGCGCGAGCCUAUCUAGUUCAAGAUGGUGGACUUGUCCAGCGCCUACCACACACUCCUAGGCCGGUCCGCGCGGGCAAAGUUCUUGGUGGUUCCCCACUACGCCUACUUGAAAAUGAAGAUGCCGGGUCCCAAGGGCCUCAUCACUAUUGUGGGCACCUACAAGAAGUCCCUGGAGUGCGCCCAAGCCGGCGCCAAGCUGGUUGAGUCGCUGGUCAUAGCUGAGGAGCGGCGCCAGCUCGACCGGAUCAUGGUGCUAGCCGCCGAGUAGCCGGCUGUGCCGGCUUCGGCCAAGGAGUCAGCUGGUAAGGUCUCUUUCCAGCCGUCCAAGGAUACCAAGAAGAUCCCGCUCAACCCGGAAGACUGCAGCUGCAGCAAGUACGUUGUUGUGGGCACCCGCCUCAAUAGCAAAUAGGAAGGCGAGCUCGUCGACUUCCACCGUGAGAAUCGGGAUAUCUGUGCAUGGUCCCCAAAGGACAUGCCAGGAGUUUUGAGGAAGUACAGCGAGCACAAACUACACAUCCACAAGGACGGUAAGCCUCUCCGCAAACCGUUGCACCACUUUUUUGAGGAGAAGCGGAGAACCAUCAGUGAAGAAGUCGUUGAUACGUCUCCGUCGUAUCUAUAAUUUUUGAUUGUUCCAUGCCAAUAUUCUACUACUUUUACAUACUUUUGGCAACUUUUAUACUAUUUUUGGGACUAACAUAUUGAUCCAGUGCCCAGUGCCAGUUCCUGUUUGUUGCAUGUUUUUUGUUUCGCAGAAAAUCCAUAUCAAAUGGAGUCCAAACGGGAUAAAAACUGACGAAGAUUUUUUUGGAAUAUAUGUGAUUUUUGGGAAGAAGAAUCAACGCGAUACGAUGCCCGAGGGGGCCACGAGGCAGGGGGGCGCGCCCUGGGCCCUCAUGGCCACCCUGUAAGGCGGUUGGUUCCCUUCUUUCUCCGCAAGAAAGCUAAUAUCCGGAUAGAGAUCGUGUCCAAAAUUCAGCCCAAUCGGAGUUACGGAUCUCUGGGAAUGUAAGAAAGGGUGGAAGGGCAGAAUCCGGCAGCGCAGAAACAAAGAGAGACAGAGAGACAGAUCCAAUCUCGGAGGGGCUCUCGCCCCUCCCACGCCAUGGAGACCAUGGACCAGAGGGGAAACCCUUCUCCCAUCUAGGGAGAAGGUCAUGGAAGAAGAAGGAGGGGGGCUCUCUCCCCCUCGCUUCCGGUGGCACCGGAGUGCCGCUGGGGCCAUCAUCGUCACCGCAAUCUACACUAACAACUUCACCGCCGUCAUCACCAACUCUUCCCCCCUCUAUGCAGCGGUGUAACCCCUCUUUUACCCGCUGUAAUCUCUACUUAAACUUGGUGCUCAACGCUAUAUAUUAUUUCCCAAUGAUGUAUGGCUAUCCUAUGAUGUUUGAGUAGAUCCGUUUUAUCCUAUGGGUUAAUUGAUGAUCAUGAUUGGUUUGAGUUGCAUGUUUUAUUAUUGGUGCUGUCCUAUGGUGCUCUCCAUGUCGCGCAAGCAUGAGGGAUCCCCGCUGUAGGGUUUGCAAUAUGUUCAUGGUUUGCUUAUUGUCUGUGUUGCGUGAGUGACUGAAACACAAACACGGAUAAGUGGGUCAUGGUGUAUGGGAAUAAAGAGGACUUGAUACUUUAAUGCUAUGGUUGGGUUUUAGCUUAAUAAUCUUUAGUAGUUGCGGAUGCUUGUUAGAGUUCCAAUCAUAAGUGCAUAUGAUCCAAGAAGAGAAAGUAUGUUAGCUUAUGCCUCUCUCUCAAAUAAAAUUGCAACAAUGAUUACCGGUCUAGUUAUCGAUUUCCUAGGGACAAAUAACUUUAUCGUGACAAAAAGCUCUUUACUAAAACUAAUUUAGUUGUGUCUUUAUAUAAACAACCCCUACUUUUUAUUUACGCGCUCUUUAUUAUCUUGCAAACCUAUCCAAAAACACCUACAAAGUACUUCUAGUUUCAUACUUGUUCUAGGUGAAGCGAACGUUAAGCGUGCGUAGAGUUGUAUUGGUGGUCGAUAGAACUUGAGGGAAUAUUUGUUCUACCUUUAGCUCCUCGUUGGGUUCGACACUCUUACUUAUCGAAAGAGGCUACAAUUGAUCCCCUAUACUUGUGGGUUAUCAAGACCUUUUUCUGGUGCCGUUGUCGGGGAGUUAUAGUGUGGGGUGAAUAUUCUCAUGUGUGCUUGUUUGCUUUAUCACUAAGUAGUUUUUAUUUGCUGUUCUAAGUUGUUCUCUAUAUUUAGUUAUGGAUUUGGAACACGAAAUACCAAAAAAAAAGGUUUACUUGCUACUCAUGGAGAUGGGGAACCUCCUAAAACCCUCGAUGCUCAUUAUAUGAAAGAUAUUAUGUACUACUUUGAUAAUCCUGAGAAAACCCCAUUCAAUUUUGUAAUGGGAGACACGUUGGAUCAACGUGAAUACUUUAGGGAUUAUCGCUUGACUCAAAAAGGGAAACUAUUAUGGGAUCAAAUUUUUAUAUUGUAUUGGUAUGCUAGGCAACUAUGCUUGAGAUAUGAUUAUACUUGUUGCUCUAGGAUGAAGGCUCCACACCUUCCCUUUUCAUGCAAAUUUAAUGAUGAUAAAACCUUGGCUUCUUAUGCUAAUGGUAUUUAUGAUUACUAUGAUGUGGAACAAAUAGAAGAAUUCGUUGCUUUUAUGGGUGCUUAUGAAAUUGAAUCUUUGUUUAAAGAGUUUGAAGAUUUUGAUGAUUCAGUUUAUAGACCUGAAAAUUUUACUAUACUUAAAUAUUGCUAUUAGAAUUAUGAAUUCAAUUCCGAUAUUGAUGAUUUUAUUGAGAGAGUCUCCGCUGUCCAAGAAGAGACUAAUAUUUUGCAGGAAUCUAUGGAAGAAGAAAUUAAUGACACUGUGAGCUCAUUGGAUGAAAAAGAUGAUGAGGAGAGCGAAGAACAAAAGGAGGAAGAGCGGAUUAGCUACCCGUGACCACCUUCUGAUGAGAGUAACUCUUCAACUCAUACAUUCUUUAAUUUCCCUUCGUGCUUACCGAAGGAUGAUUGCUAUGAUGACUGUUAUGAUCCCGUUGAUUCUUUUGAAAUACACCUUUUUGAUGAUGCUUUCUAUGCUUGUGGCCAAGAUGCCAAUAUGAAUUAUGCUUAUGGAGAUGAACUUGCUAUAGUUCCUUAUGUUAAACAUGAAAUUAUUGUUAUUGCACCCACGCAUGAUAGUCCUAUUAUCUUUUUGAAUUCUCCAAACUACACUAUAUCGGAGAAGUUUGCCCUUAUUAAGGAUUAUAUUGAUGGGUUGCGUUUUACUACUACACAUGAUGAUUUUGAUAGAUAUAAUAUGCAUGUGCUUGCUGCUCCUAUUUGCAAUUAUUAUGAGAGAGGACCUAUAUCUCCACCUCUCUAUGUUUCCCACACGAUAAAAUUGCAAGAAACUGUUUAUACUAUGCAUUGGCCUUUACUAUGUGUGCAUGAAUUGUUCUUUUAUGACAUGCCGAUGCAUAGGAAGAGAGUUAGACUUCGUUGUUGCAUGAUAUAUGUUACUUUGUGCUCACUACUAAAUCACAAAUCAUUGUUAAUUAAAAUUGGCUUUGAUAUACCUUGGGAUCCGGGUGGAUCCAUUACUUGAGCACUAUAUGCCUAGCUUAAUGGCUUUAAAGAAAGCGCUGCCAGGGAGACAACCCAGAAGUUUUAGAGAGUCAUUUAUUUCUGUCAUGUGCUUUUAUAAAGUUUAAAAACAAAAAUAAAUAAAGAGGGGAACCUAAAACUUUUUCAAAAAAGGAAAGUGAAAGUGAGAAAGACGAGCAUUGUUAAAGUGGGAGCUAGCCUUGAACUUUGUUCAUGCUCACGGAAACUUUGUGAAUCUUGAUUACAGAAACUUUUCAGCAAAAAUAAUUAUCCCCUUGUACAAUUCCAUUGUAUUAUAAAAAUAAUGUGCCAAGAUUUGCCUUUAGGAUGUUUACAUUUCUUGUUGGUUUGUGCGGUGCAGAACAUAAACUUUGGCUGUAGUGCGCGAUUUUACAUUUUUUACUGGAACAUCAAACGGUUCUGAAACUUCUUGCACUGUCUUUCUAUACAAAUUGUUUAUUUUUCCUAAUUUUGGCAGAAUUGUUGGAGUACCAUAGGUAUGGUGAAUGAUCAGAUUACUACAGACUGUCCUGUUUAAGACAGAUUCUGUUUUUGAUGCGUAGUUUGCUUGUUUUGAUGAAACUAUCGAUUUCUGUCGGCAUUCUGGGAACGGGGGUCCCCAGACUUGCCUGCCUGCGGCCCAUGGCGAGGCUGUGCUGCAGGCCUGUACGGCCCAACUUCAUCAACGAGACAUUCAAGACCCUCGCGAGGGGCCAAGCCUCGUGAGGCGGACGACGCAAGACCUCCUCAGGAGCGGCCUCACCAGGCUGCCUCGUGAGGAGCGGAGAAAUCAAGGCGGGGCAAACCUCGCGAGGCUCUCGUGACCUGAGCCAUGACGAUCAAGAUCAGGCGGGCGCCAGCACGCGCAGUGUCCUUGUUUCCUCUUUGGUGCUAAGGAGGCAAGCGCAGGCGCGGGGUACCGAGGCAUCAAGCAAAGGUUUCCAUAUCAGUGCGACAAGACCAAGACCAGCCGGACGGCGGGACGGAGGUCACCAUGGAGCUCGAGACGGUGUAAUCACCAGAGCCUUUUGCAGGUGAAGACCGCUUUUGUCAGGAUAAGCUGUACUAGCUGUCCCCUUUCAAAUUGGCCGUUGUUGGCUUCCUUCCCGCUCAAUAUUUGGGUAGAGGACCAGGGCCUAUAUAAGUAGAACUAGCCACCACAGUAGGGGCAUGAGAUCUUGAGCCAAUCCUUAGCCACACACCGAGCACAAGAAUGCCCCAACCUCAGGAGGCUGUUCUUCCCCUUGUAUUGUUCAUCAUCAGCCCAAGAGGCAAUCCACCACCACCACACUGGAGUAGGGUAUUACACCACAACGGUGGCCCGAACCAGUAUAAAUCUUGUGUCUUUGUGUUGCGAGUUCGUCGAGUUCAUCCGCGAGAUCUUAGAGAGCUAGGGCGUAGAUCAGUAGGGAGGAAAUCUCCGUGCGCACCCCAGUGUUCGAACCUUGAGGGUUUUGCCGGAACCCGUGAUCCGACAUUUGGCGCGCCAGGUAGGGGUGCGCCGUAGCUCCUCUCUGCCGACCUACGCUCCGCCGCCGCCGCACUUCGCCCUCAUGGCAGGCGCCCCGUUGCCGGCUCCAACGGCCGGCGCUGACGACGGGGCCAGGGGGCUCCGGGCCCUGGCCCCCGCCCUACGGCAGGUGCGAUGGCCACCCAAGUUCAGGCCGGAGAUGCCGCCGCGCUACGACGGCGCGGCGGACCCGUCGGCUUUCCUGCUGGCAUACGAGGAGGCCAUCCUCGAGGCCGGGGGCGACGACAAGGUCAUGGCCAACUGGCUCCCCAUGGCCCUCGCCGGCGAGCCACGCGCCUGGCUGCUCAACCUCCCUCGAUCCACGGUGGCAUCCUGGGAGGAACUCCGCGACCUCUUCACUGCAUGCUACGCGGUACCAGCGCACCACGCAGUCGCGGCCCUGCUAGGCUGCUCUCAAGCGCCGCCUUCGGAUCGUCACGUCAAGCCGUUCCUCCACCAGAUUGGUGCCGCUUCCAAGUGCUCGGGGGCUCCGCCGGGUUGGGCUGCGCCAGAGGCCGACCUCACCUUCGGCUCAGAAGACCACCCGACUCCUCCGCCGGCUCGGGCAUGGUCCCAAUGCUCUGCACGCCCACCAUCUGCAACGUGGCUGUUACCAAGACCCUCAUCGACGGCGGCACCGGCCUCAACUUGCUCUCCAUGGAGGCCUUCAGCCUUCUUCAUGUGCCGCUCGAGCGUCUCAGCCUCAGCAAGCCUUUCUCAGGAGUUGGUGGUGGCACUGCCCGCUCCCUGGGGCAGAUCCACCUCCCCAUCACCUUCGGCACGCGCGACAACUACCGCACCGAGCUGGUCGACUUCGACAUCGCCCACAUCGGCCUCCCGUACAACACCAUUCUCGGGUACCCAGCUCUAGCCCAGUUCAUGGUGGCGACUCAUCCGGCCUACAACCUCAUGAAGAUGCCCGGAAGCAAAGGCGUCCUCACUGUCAAGGGGGACGCCAAGGAGGCCCUGGCGGCGCUCAAGCUCGCCCUCAAGUCCGCUGCGGCAGCGGAGCCUGCCGAUGUGGGCACCUCCAAGCCCAAGGGAGCUGCACCGACCAAGAAGAAGCAGUUGUUCACACAAGACAAGGCGGAAACCAAGCAGGUGCCAGUCGACGAGGACGGGCCCUCAAGAGCCACCUUUACCAUAGGUGCCAGCCUCGACCCAAGCCAAGAGGAAGCGUUGGUGAAGUUCUUGCGCGCGAACAAGGAUAUAUUCGCGUGGGAGCCCAAUCAGCUGGUGGGAGUCCCAAGAAAGGUGAUUCAGCAUCAUUUAAGGGUCUGCCCAAAUGUACGCCCUGUGAAGCAGCGGGCGAGACGGCAGUCCACUGAGAAGCAGGCCUUCAUCGUCCAAGAGACUCGCAAGCUGGAGGCGGCGGGUGCCAUUCGCGAGGUUCGGUAUCCCGAAUGGCUGGCGAACCCCGUCAUAGUGCCGUAGAAAGGCGGGAAGGAGCGAAUGUGCUUCGACUUCACCAACCUCAACAAGGCCUGCCCCCAAGAUCGAUUCCCGCUCCCACGCAUCGAUCAGAUCAUCGACUCCACCGCCGAGUGCGACCUGCUAUGCUUCCUGGAUGCGUUCUCGAGGUAUCACCAGAUCAAGAUGGCGAUAGAAGACGUGGAGAAGACAGCCUUCCUGACCCCGUGUGGGGUAUACUGCUACACCUGCAUGCCCUUCGGACUGCGCAACACGGGCGCAGCCUUUCAGCGGCUGAUGCAUAUCGCCUUGGGGCAGCAGCUCGGGAGAAACACGAAGGCCUACGUCGACGACAUUGUGGUGAAGUCUCGGGAGGCAAAGACCUUGGUUCAAGACCUGGAGGAGACCUUCGCGAGCCUGCGCCAGGUGAACUUGCGGCUUAACCCGGAGAAGUGCGUGUUCGGUGUCCCAUCCGACAAGCUGUUGGGCUUCCUCGUGUCCCACAGAGGGAUCGAGGCGAACCCAGAGAAGAUCAAGGCCAUUGAGGACAUGAGCCCACCGCAGACCCUUAAGGAAAUGCAGAAGCUGGCUGGUCGGGUAACUGCGUUGGGGCGCUUCAUCUCCAAGCUAGGAGAGCGCGCCCUACCCUUCUUCAAGCUGAUGAAGAAGAAGGGCCCAUUCGAGUGGACCCAGGAGGCCGACCGAGCUUUUCAAGACCUCAAGAGAUACCUGACUAGCCCUCCGGUGAUGGUGGCACCACGACCUCUCGAGCUCCUAGUACUCUACCUUGCCGAUACCCCGUACUCCGCCAGCGCAGCUCUGGUGGCGGUUCAGGAGGAGCACCAAGCCAAGGGCGCGUUGCGCCAAGCUACAGCUAAAGCAAUGCAAGAUCAGGAAGGCGCCGCAAGAGCCUUAGCAGCGUCAACAGAAGACCAAGCUCGGCAGGACAACGUCACCAAGAUUCCCACAAGCAAUCAGGCGUCAGGAGUCCCUCCAUCUCAGGAGACGUCCCAACCUCCGCAAUACACGAGCCUCAACAGCGCGCCAGACCUCGUCGAACACCCGGUGUAUUUUGUCAGCACAGUGUUGCGGGACGCGAGGGCACGAUAUCCCACGCCCCAUAAGCUCCUGCUUGCGCUCUUGGUGGCCUCACGCAAGCUGCAACACUACUUCGAGGGCCACCCCAUCAAGGUCGUCUCAGCCUACCCAUUGGAGAGGGUGCUCAGGAGCCCCAAUUCCGCCGGAAGGUUCGCUGAAUGGAACAUCGAGCUGCAAGCAUUCCAGUUGGAGUUCAGCACUACCAGGGUCAUCAAGGGAGCCGCGCUCGCUGAUUUUGUGGCGGAAUGGACGGAUGCCCCGACACUUGAAAUAGGCGAAGACCGGUCCACCUCACCAGGAAGCGAGGCGCCAGACGGUUGGGUCAUGUAUUUCGAUGGCGCCUUCGCGCAUCAGGGCGCAGGGGCUGGAGUAGUACUCAUCUUGCCCACUCAGGACAAGCUCUACUACACCGUGCAGCUCUGCUUUCAGCAGGGCGAGAAGGUCUCCAACAACAUCGCGGAAUACGAGGGCCUCAUAGCUGGCCUGAAGGCUGCGGCAGCUCUGGGGGUGAAGCGCCUUACAGUUAAGGGCGCCUCGCAGCUCCUCGUCAACUUCUCCAACAAGGUAUACGAGCCGAGGGACGAGCAUAUGGUGGCAUACCUUGCGGAGGUGCACAAGAUGGAGAAGCAGUUCUUGGGCCUGGAGUUACAGAAUGUGCCCCGGGGCACCAACAAGGAAGCUGGUAACACCGCCAAGAGGGCAUCCAAGCGGCAGCCACAAGAACCUGGCGUCUUUGAGGAACGACUCUUCAAGCCAUCAGCGACACCACCACUUUCAAGCGCAGCUCAGCCUCGGGAGGAGCUCCCGCAACCGCCUGCCUCGGGAGCCCCAGCUUGUGGCCCCACCUCAGGAGCUCGCCUGCUCUUGGCGCUCGAGCCCCAGGAGGGAUGCUGGACCAAGGAAUUCAAGGAGUAUCUGAUGCAAGGGGCCCUGCCGAAGAAGGACGAGGAUGAGGACGCAGAGUGCGUGUCCCGGCAAGCCACGACGUACUGCAUCCAGGAUGGUGAGUUGUACAGGAAGUGGCCAAAUGACGUCACUCUGCGCUGCAUUUCCAGGGACCAUGGGAAGGAGUUGCUAAUUGACAUACACGGUGGGGACUGCGGGCACCACUCGUCAUCACGGACCCUCGUCGACAAGGUAUUCCGCAGUGGGUUCUACUGGCCCACUGCGCUCAAUGACGCAGCUGAGCUGGUGAAGUCCUGUGAAGCCUGCCAGUUCCACGCCAAGCAGGUUCAUCAGCCGGCUCAGGGCCUCCAGACCAUCCCACUCACGUGGCCGUUCGCGGUCUGGGGGCUGGACAUCUUGGGCCCGUUCCCUCGAGCGCCUGGGGGCUACCGCUACCUCUACGUCGCCAUCGGCAAGUUCACCAAGUGGGCGGAAGUGGAAGCUGUCCGCACCAUCCCAGCCGGCUCCGCUGUCAAGUUCAUCAAGGGCCUCGUGAGCCCUUUCGGGGUUCCCAACCGCAUCAUCACAGAUAACGGCUCGCAGUUCACUAGUAACCUCUUCAAAACCUACUGCGCUAACCUUGGAAUGCAAAUUUGCUACGCUUCGGUGGCACACCCCAGGAGCAAUGGUCAGGCCGAACGCGCCAAUGCAGAGGUCUGGAGGGGCCUCAAGACCAGGACCUUCAAGAAGAAGCUCGAGGCCUGCGGCAGGGGCUGCAUGACGAGCUCCAGUCCGUGCUGUGGUCCAUCCACACCACCGCCACCAAGCCGACGGGCGAGACUCCAUUCUUCCUUGUCUACGGGGCCGAAGCGGUCCUUCCUCACGAGGUCAAGCAUUGCUCCGCAUGGGUCCUGGCAUUUGCUGAAGCGCAGUAGGACACCACGCGGGGGAUGGACCUCGUGCUGGGGGAGGAACGUCGUCGCGAAGCUGCACUGAGGGCGGCGAGGUACCAGCAGGCGCUGCGGCGAUAUCACUGCCGCAACAUCCGCUCCAGGACGCUCGAGACGGGCGACCUCAUCUUGAGGCGGGUCCUCUCCAGGGAAGGGCUGCACAAGCUCUCACCUAUGUGGGAGGGACCGUUCAAGGUCGUCCAUGUCUCCAGGCCUGGCGCCGCGCGCCUGGAGACGCAGGACGGGGUACCCAUCCAGAACGCCUGGAACAUCCAGCACCUCCGUAAGUUCUUCCCAUAAAGCAAGGCCCAGUGCCCGUGAAGAAGGCCCAGUGCCUGUGAAGAUCACCGCCCGUGACACUCUCACGUAAUAAUGAGUGGGGCUGUACACGCCCCGGAGUCUCAGGGGUGCCGGCCUCAGGCCCUGGGGCUCCCUCCCACGCCUAGUGGCAGCACUUAGCUCCGCGCUGGUGAGAAGACUUGAAGACUAGACUAGGUGCCAGACGCGGCUUUUCAUUUGCUUUCCGUAGUUGGCUCGCCCUUUUUUAAUCGAAGUUUGCUUCUGGCGUCCAUCGCUGAUUUGGUUCUAUCGCCUUUUGUCGCUAUUUCCGGCUCUAGUUGGCCCGUGUUCUCUCUCGCACACCUCGCGAGGGGGCUAGGCAGGUGCCCUCGCGAGCUUUCUUCCUUCUCUCUACCUUCCGUCUGCUUUCUCGCGAGGCGCCCUCGUUCGAGCCCACGAAUUGGCGCAUCUCUCUUAAUCCGUGCCCCUCGGGUACCGCGAUGCGAAGCGCUGGGUCAAGGCUUGGGCGAACAAUAAGUUUCCUAGCGAGCUUCCUAACGAAUUUUUUGCAGUUCUUGAGCGACCUCUAAGUCAAGAUGGGCACGAGGAAACAAGUGCCUCGUGAAGGGGAGGUUACCCCAGACACGCCAAGCUAAGUUAUCUCUGCACAGAAUAACGAUACAACGCGAGAGCAACAAACAUAACAUAAUGGUUAAGGAGUCAUGUUUCGAUACACGCCCCUCCGGGCCCAUGCUCGUUUCGUUUUGAUGUAGGAAGGAAAAGAGGAACAAAACAAAAGCGGCGCUCGCCCCUACAGCAGUCCGCGGGGGCAGGCCCUUGGCGACGUCCCGGGCUUAGUCGGACCCCUCCUCGCGCUUCACGGACGCGCGGCGACGAAACGACCCGCUACCACCUUCGAGGCGGGUGCGGCGACGCGGCGGCUGAUCGUAGCCGCCACUGCUGGAGCUGUCGCCAAGGGAGGAGCCACCAUAGCCAGACGAGGCGCGACCGGCGGGUUCACCCUCCUCCUCACCACGACCAUCGCGAAGGCCGAGCACCUCCUCGCCGUCGUUCGCCUCGGGGCGGCAUCCGGCGUGGCGACCGUCUUCCCCGAACACCCUCACGUAGAGGGUCGCGUCGCCGUCAAACUUGAAGUGGAGGGUGCACCGCCUGCCGAGGCCGCGCGCGCGGGCGAACGUCUGCCAACGGCGGGCCAAAGCUAUGUUGCCCGCGAUGGAGACCUCGACCGCGACCCAAGAAGCCCGGCUGCAGCAACCGUCUGCCUGCAGCUAGAGCCCGCCCGGACCGGAGGCCGGUAGCUCGUCGGCAAAGAAGCGAGGAAGCUGGAGCCAGCUGCCGGCUGGGUCCUCCGACCAGACAACGAACUCCGGCAGCACCUCUGACGCGUGGAACCGCGCCCGGGGAGGCCGCGCAACCACGACGCGUCUCCUUUUGUCGACGGGGCUGCCGCGACCAGAGCGACUCCUGCCACGCGCAGCGGCGCCACCCCGGGAGCCGAGGGCCACGACGUGCUUGCGGGGACGACCACGUCCACGCUUGGGCGCCGGGGAGCUGGGCCCCUCCCGAGGGGCCUUUCCCUUCUCCGCGGCGGAGAACUUCUUUGACGGCGCCAUUGCUGCUAAGGAGAGGAGCAAGGAGGAGGAAGCAGGCGAACCGCAGAGAGAUGGGUGACGGGGGCUCUGCCCCCUCCCCAUUUAUAGCGGAAGAAGGCCAACCGGCACCUCCCACGAUCACAGGUAAUGUUGGUUUUCCUUGCAUAUCGCAGGGACUUGUCAAGUCGGGCAGUUGCCGAGGCAACAUGGGGAAGCAGAGACGCCCACGUCCAAUCAACCGCCACGCGUCGACCAAGACCGCAGGCUUUUGGGGCCCGCGGCGCUUCGCGCUUGACCUUUGGCUUCGCCGCGAGGCCAAGUCCGAGCGCACCUUGGGCCCGGGGGCUACUAUCGGUGUUCUGGGAACGAGGGUCCCCAGACUUGACUGCCUGCAGCCCACCGCGAGGCUGUGCUGCAGGCCUGUACGGCCCAACUUCAUCAACGAGGCAUUCAAGACCCUCGCGAGGGGCCAAGCCUCGUGAGGCAGACGAUGCAAGACCUCCUCAGGAGCGGCGUCACCAGGCUGCCUCGUGAGGAGCGGAGAAAUCAAGGCAGGGCAAACCUCGCGAGGCUCUCGUGACGUGAGCCAUGACGAUCAAGAUCAGGCGGGCGCCAGGCGGGCGCUAGCACGCGCAGCGUCCUUGUUUCCUCUUUGGUGCUAAGGAGGCAAGAGUAGGCGCGGGGUACCGAGGCAUCAAGCAAAGGUUUCCAUAUCAGUGCAACGAGACCAAGACCAGCCGGACGACAGGACGGAGGUCACCAUGGAGCCCGAGACGGCAACAUCAUCAGAGCCUUUUGCAGGCGAAGACCGCUUUUGUCAGGAUAAGCUGUACUAGCUGUCCCCUUUCAAAUUGGCCGUUGUUGGCUCCCUUCCCGCUCAAUAUUUGGGAAGAGGACCAGGGCCUAUAUAAGUAGAACUAGCCACCACAGUAGGGGCAUGAGAUCUUGAGCCAAUCCUUAGCCACACACCGAGCACAAGAACGCCCCAACCUAAGGAGGCUGUUCUUCCCCUUGUAUGGUUCAUCAUCAGCCCAAGAGGCAAUCCACCACCACCACACUGGAGUAGGGUAUUACACCACAACGGUGGCCCGAACCAGUAUAAAUCUUGUGUCUUUGUUUUGCGAGUUCGUCGAGUUCGUCCGCAAGAUCUUAGCGAGCUAGGGCGUAGAUCAGUAGGGAGGAAGUCUCCGCGCGCACCCCAGUGUUCGAACCUUGAGGGUUUUGCCAGAACCCGUGAUUCGACAAUUUCUAUCAGUGGCUUAAGCCAUGGAAAAUUUAUAUUACAGUAGCUACAAUGCAAAAACAAAAUAUGAAUUGGUUUGCAAUAGUACUUAGAGUAGUGAUUUUCUUUAUUAUACUAACGGAUCUUACCGAGCUUUCUGUUGAGUUUUGUGUGGAUGAAGUGUUCGAAGAUCGAGGAUGUCUCGAUGUGAGGAGAAGGAGGAGAGGCAAGAGCUCAAGCUUGGGGAUGCCCAAGGCACCCCAAGUAAAUAUUCAAGGAGACUCAAGCGUCUAAGCUUGGGGAUGCCCCGGAAGGCAUCCCAUCUUUCUUCAACAAAUAUCAGUAUGUUUUCGGAUUCAUUUCAUUCAUGCGAUAUGUGCAAAUCUUGGAGCAUCUUUUGCAUUUAGUUUUCAAUUUUCUUUUAUGCACCAUGCUGGUAUGAGAUAGUCCUUGGUUGAUUUAUAGAAUGCUCAUUGCACUUCACUUAUAUUUUUUGAGUAUGGCUUUAUAGAAUGCUUCAUGUGCUUCACUUAUAUCAUUGGAAGUUUGGAUUGCCUGUUUCUCUUCACAUAGAAAACCGCUAUUUGUAGAAUGCUCUUUUGCUUCACUUAUAUUUGUUAGAGCGUGGGCAUAUGUUUUUUAGAAAGAAUUAAACUCUCUUUCUUCACUUAUAUCUAUUUAGAGAGUUGACAGGAACUGGUCAUUCACAUGGUUAGUCAUAAAAUCCUACAUAAAACUUGUAGAUCACUGAAUAUGAUAUGUUUGAUUCCUUGCAAUAGUUUUGUGAUAUAAAGAUGGUGAUAUUAGAGUCAUGCUAGUGGGUAGUUGUGGAUUGUAGAAAUACUUGUGUUGAAGUUUGUGAUUCCCGUAGCAUGCACGUAUGGUGAACCGUUAUGUAACGAAGUUGGAGCAUGAGGUAUUUAUUGAUUGUCUUCCUUAUGAGUGGCGGUCAGGGACGAGCGAUGGUCUUUUCCUACCAAUCUAUCCCCCUAGGAGCAUGCGCGUAGUACUUUGUUUUGAUGACUAAUUGAUUUUUGCAAUAAGUAUGUGAGUUCUUUAUGACUAAUGUUGAGUCCAUGGAUUAUACGCACUCUCACCCUUCCAUCAUUGCUAGCCUCUUCGGUACCGUGCAUUGCCCAUUCUCACCUCGAGAGUUGGUGCAAACUUCGCCCGUGCAUCCAAACACCGUGAUAUGAUACGCACUAUCACACAUAAACCUCAUUAUAUCUUCCUCACAACAGCCACCAUACCUACCUAUCAUGGCAUUUUCAUAGCCAUUCCGAGAUAUAUUGCCAUGCAACUUCCAUCAUCAUCAUAUACAUGACUUGAGAAUUUAUUGUCAUAUUGCUUUGCAUGAUCGUAAGAUAGCUAGCAUGAUGUUGUAAGUAAAUAAAAGUGUGAUGAUCAUCAUUAUUAGAACAUUGUCCCAUGUGAGGUUACCAAAAUAAAAGUGGCCAAAGAAGCCCCCCAAAAAAAGAGAGAGGCCAAAGAAGCCUACAAAAAAAACAAAAAAAC
rnacentral:lncRNA from 1 species